rnacentral:rRNA from 1 species
AUGAAGCCAAUGUCGGCGCUGCUGUCCACCCUGCGCCGGGCCGGCCGGCAGCACCUCACGGCGUCCACCGUCGGCGCGAGGCCGCGCAUCACCGGCUCCCACGUCCUCCGGAUCCACGGCUACAAGCACGUGAAGCAGUCGGUCCCCAACGGCGAGGCGGUGGAGUCAGCCACGUUCCACGUCGGCGGCCGCGCCUGCCGGAUCAAGUGCUACCCGAACGGCAGCGGCAAGAAGCACCACGGCUACACGUCCCUCUUCCUCACCAGCCUCCACGACGCCGGCACGGUGGGGCUCGAGCUCAGCCUGCUCGACCGGGACGGGAGGCCGUCGCUCACACGCGCCACGGAACAGCGACGCUUCUGGAUUGGCGACAGCGCGGGCUGGGGCUUCAAAGACUUCGUCAAGAACGACGAUCUGGUCGAGGGAGAGGACCUCGUGGACGACUGCCUCACCGUCCUCUGCGACGUCACCGUCCACGACCCUUCCUUGCACGCCGAGGACGUUGCCGCGCCGGCAGCGGCCGAGCCGCUCGACCUAAGUGGGGAGCUCGGGGAGGCCAUGUGGAACGAGACGGACGUGACGAUCCACGUCGGCGACGAGACGUUCCCGGCGCACCGUUCGGUGCUGGAGGCUGCGUCCCCCGUCUUCAAGGCGGACCUCGAGAACAACGCCACCGGCGAGGUACGCGUCGACGACAUGGACGCGGAGGUGUUCAAGACCCUGCUCCAGUUCAUGUACACGAGCGCGCUGCCUGACAGGAACCAGCUCGAGGCGGACGUCGCGACGGCGGAGCGGCUGCUCGUGGCGGCUGACAGGUACGGGCUGGAGAAGAUAAAGGUUGUCUGCGAGGAGACGCUGUGCCCGCACGUCGACAUGGGCUCUGUGGCCGCCAUGCUGGCGUUGGCGGAGCGACAUGGCUGUGCCCUACUGAAGGAGGCGUCCAUUAAGUUCCUUUCUGGUCCCGGUAAUCUGAAAUUAUUCAUGGCGACCGAUGGUUUCCAGCAGCUGACGAGAAGCUACCCAUCUGCGGUGCUGGACCUUCUUGUCAACCGCCUAUAG